rnacentral:ncRNA from 2 species
UAUUUUCGAAGUGGUCAGAAAAGAGUGUUAAAAAGCUCUUUUCGGGCCUGGGAAUUUUACCAGGCAGCAGGGAUAAAAAAAUCCUGCGGGACCCAU